rnacentral:ribozyme from 1 species
AUAAAAGAAAAACGGUAAAGGUAGAAGUAGAAGAGGCAGAGACGGUCUUAUUUCUUCGAAUUACUCAGAUAUUUUGUAAACAUCAGGUUACCCCUUAUUAUUUUCUUCUUUUUCUUACCCUUAAUUACCGUUA